AUUGAACGCUGGCGGCAGGCCUAACACAUGCAAGUCGCACGAGUGGCGGACGGGUGAGUAAUGUCUGGGCAACUGCCUGAUGGAGGGGGAUAACUACUGGAAACGGUAGCUAAUACCGCAUACCAUCAGAUGUGCCCAGAUGGGAUUAGCUUGUGGGUGGGGUAAGGGCUCACCAAGGCGACGAUCCCUAGCUGGUCUUAGAGGAUGACCAGCAACACUGGAACUGAGACACGGUCAAGACUCCUAGGGGAGGCAGCAGUGGGGAAUAUUGCACAAUGGGCGAAAGCCUGAGACAGCCAUGCCGCGUGUAUGAAGAAGGCCUUCGGGUUGUAAAGUACUUUAAGCGGGGAGGCGUUACCGGAAGAAGAAGCACCGGCUAACUCCGGGCCAGCAGCCGCGGUAAUUC
rnacentral:rRNA from 1 species